UACGUAGGUGACCAGCGUUGUCCGGAUUUACUGGGCGUAAAGAGCGCGCAGGCGGUCGUUCAAGUCGAGUGUGAAAGCCCCCGGCUCAACUGGGGAGGGUCACUCGAUACUGAUCGACUGGAAGGCAGGAGAGGGAAGCGGAAUUCCCGGUGUAGUGGUGAAAUGCGUAGAUAUCGGGAGGAACACCAGUGGCGAAGGCGGCUUCCUGGCCUGUUUCUUGACGCUGAGGCGCGAAAGCUAGGGGAGCAAACGGG
rnacentral:rRNA from 1 species